rnacentral:rRNA from 1 species
CCGACCUCUAAUCGGAAA